rnacentral:rRNA from 1 species
UACGUAGGGUCCGAGCGUUGUCCGGAAUUAUUGGGCGUAAAGGGCGCGUAGGCGGCCCCGUAAGUCUUGGGCGAAAGCCCUCGGCUCAACCGAGGAAUUGCCUUGGAUACUGCGGGGCUCGAGGCUGGAAGAGGGCAGUGGAAUUCCCGGUGUAGCGGUGAAAUGCGCAGAUAUCGGGAGGAACACCUAUGGCGAAGGCAGCUCGCUGGGACGUUACUGACGCUGAGACGCGAAAGCGUGGGGAGCAAACAGG